AAGACGGCCCUACGGGUUGUAAACUGCUUUUUGACAGGGGAAUUAAACCCCCGGAUGUAUCCGGGGUUGAAUGUACUCCUGAGAAUAAGGAUCGGCCUAACUCCGUGC
rnacentral:rRNA from 1 species